rnacentral:lncRNA from 1 species
AGUAAUCGAUUUAAUUAUGAAUUUGGUUCCCAUUUAAUUUAUUGAUUGAUUGAUUUGAUCAUGAAUUUGGUAAAUAAUCGAUUUUUCCUUGAAAUUGUAAAUGAUAAUAUACUUCGAUUCGAGAUAGUUCUUGAAUUUGGAGUAUCUGGUUUAAAAAAUUUAAAAAAAUGACUUUCCGAUCAAAUAUGAUUCUACUAUUAGUGAGUGGAUACAUUUAUUUCCCAGGAUCAACUAAAUAAUCGAGAUCAUCAGAUAAAGCGAUAAUCCUAAGUUCUCCGCGCUUCCACCAAUUUCCCCGUCUACAAUCUCGAUAUCUGCCCCCAAGUGCGGGCAGGUGCGAGAUCAAUGGAGGAAAAAAGGGGACUAGAAUGAAGCUCAGAUCCGAAAUCUGACUUCCGGAUCAACCAACCCAACCGUUUCUGGAAUUCUGGCAAAAGAAGCAAAGUUGAGACUUUCUUUCUUUUGUACAUUCAUAUUUAUCUUCACCUAAUAAAUGAUCACCAUUAGCAAAUAUUAGCAACAUGCAGGGCCGAGAUCACGGAUGCACUUCUUUUUUUCUAACGGUGGCCGGUGGCGGUUGGUAUCUCACUAUCUUGUAGUGAUAUAUCAGGAUGCAUCUAUUUCGUGAUCUGAUUUUGAAACUAAUUUUCCAAUAU